rnacentral:tRNA from 1 species
UCCUCAGUAGCUCAGUGGUAAAGCAGUCGACUGUUAACCGAUUUGUCGUAGGUUCAAAUCUUACUUGGGGAG